UUGCUGUGAUGAUUUAUGAAUUUCUUCACCUGAGAAAUUUAUGAAGAGUAAAACCGAGCUUUUUAAACCUGAGCAAA